UACGUAGGGUGCAAGCGUUAUCCGGAUUCACUGGGUUUAAAGGGUGCGUAGGUGGGCAAGUAAGUCAGUGGUGAAAUCUCCGGGCUUAACCCGGAAACUGCCAUUGAUACUAUUUGUCUUGAAUACUGUGGAGGUCAGCGGAAUAUGUCAUGUAGCGGUGAAAUGCUUAGAUAUGACAUAGAACACCAAUUGCGAAGGCAGCUGGCCACACAAAUAUUGACACUGAGGCACGAAAGCGUGGGGAUCAAACAGG
rnacentral:rRNA from 1 species